GUUUCUCUCUCUCUACUUUGGUCUCUCUCUUUCAGUAGCAGACAACACCAACAACAAUGAAAUUCCGGCGUCAAGCACCAGCAGCCACCACCACCCUUCUCCCUCCCCAUCUCUCUUUUGCCUCUCCCUCUCGCCGUCCUUCACCUUCGACCUGCAAUCAGCAAGAGACCGCCGCGACCAGCAACCUCCCUUCCUCUCGCAGGUCUACGGCAACAGCAGAUCGACGCCGGCUUCCUCUGUUUCCGGCGUGGCAGGGCAGCGGCGGUGGAGCUUGGCAUUGACGACCGGCGACCUGUUCUCUUCCACUUCAGGCAGCCUCCACCUUCGGCCUCCAUCCUUCCCCUCCACCAGCAGCGGCGAGGCAGAGCAGCGGCGGCGAGCGAGCUCCGGCCCCCAUCUCUUUCGGCGACCUCCUUCCCGGUGAAACACUCGACAGCAGCGUCAAUGGUGGUGUUUGGCAGUGAAGAAGGUUUCCUGUUGAAGUGGCAAGCUUAAGAGUCAACAUAAGUGUUUGGCAUUUGGAGCUUAAUUUGAGUUUUGUAUCGUCAAGCCUCUAUCCACUGCUUGCUUCAAGGUUUCCUUGGCUCACCCCUAUGAUCUGUUGUCGGUGUCCUCGUUGCUUGACUCUGUGCUCGUACGCUCCUCCAUGCUUCCUACCGGCAAGGCCACUCAAGACGAUUUCAACCGUUUAGUCUUUAUAUCACUUAUUUCCUUCCCAUUCUCAAAAAUUAUAUUUCUCUCUAUCAAACAAUGUCAUUUGAAUUACUACUUUAUGUAAUAUUUUCCCUAAUAAUAUAUAUCAUAUAUUAUAUAUUAAAGCCUUAAUUAAGUGGUGCAAGUUGACUAGGCUUGUUAAAUAGUUUGGUUGGACUGAAUAACUAGGAGUUGUUAUUCAACCAGAUUCUAUGCCUAAUAUAAACUUGGAUUGGUGAGGUACAUGAUAUUCAUUAUAUAGCACAUUCAGAUACGGUACUCAUACUACUCAGUAGACACCCAUACACCAUCUAGGGUUCUGAGUCAAGUAUGAGUCAAAUAUGGCUAACGGUCUACCGUCCAAGAGGCAUCACACAUCAACUAUGGUUGGAGACCAACACUGCUUCCGCUUCCGCUACUACGAGGUUAGGUUUCUCGUAGACUAUUCUGUGUGGUUAGAUUAUUUAUAUCUAACACUUUAUUGUCACCUUAUUCUUUUCCGAUCAAAUUACAAUUCUUUUCUCUUCUAAUUCACUCAUAACAACCAAACACCAUGUUGAUUUAAGGGACUAAAAUGGUCGCCAAUUUAAACAAACAACUUAGGGACUAAAUACGGUCACAUGUAUAAUUAAGGGAUUGAGUUGACUAUUUUAAUAUAAUUAAAGGACUAAAAUAACCAUUCUCUCUAUUUUGAAUGAAUCGAAGUAUGUUAUGUAAGCAAAUAGUAGCCAAGAUCUUAUGUUCUAGUGACACCAAGUUGCACUUUCAUAUCAGAGGUUGUGGGUUCGACACUGGGCCGUUCCAAUAAAAAUUUGGUCCUGUGCAA